rnacentral:rRNA from 1 species
GACGAACGCUGGCGGCGUGCCUAAUACAUGCAAGUCGAACGCAUUUUCUUUCACCGUAGCUUGCUACACCGAAAGAAAAUGAGUGGCGAACGGGUGAGUAACACGUGGGUAACUUGCCCAUCAGCGGGGGAUAACACUUGGAAACAGGUGCUAAUACCGCAUAAUUCCAUUUACCGCAUGGUAAAUGGAUGAAAGGCGCUUUUGCGUCACUGAUGGAUGGACCCGCGGUGCAUUAGCUAGUUGGUGGGGUAACGGCCUACCAAGGCUGCGAUGCAUAGCCGACCUGAGAGGGUGAUCGGCCACACUGGGACUGAGACACGGCCCAGACUCCUACGGGAGGCAGCAGUAGGGAAUCUUCGGCAAUGGACGCAAGUCUGACCGAGCAACGCCGCGUGAGUGAAGAAGGUUUUCGGAUCGUAAAACUCUGUUGUUAGAGAAGAACAAGGAUGAGAGUGGAAAGUUCAUCCCUUGACGGUAUCUAACCAGAAAGCCACGGCUAACUACGU